AUCAGAAUGCCGCGGUGAAUACGUUCCCGGGUCUUGUACACACCGCCCGUCACACCAUGGGAGUCGGAAAUGCCCGAAGUCUGUGACCCAACCUACGGGAGGGAGCAGCCGAAGGCAGGUCGGAUGACUGGGGUGAAGUCGUAACAAGGUAGC
rnacentral:rRNA from 1 species